GACGAACGCUGGCGGCGUGCUUAACACAUGCAAGUCGAACGCUGAAGCACCAGCUUGCUGGUGUGGAUGAGUGGCGAACGGGUGAGUAAUACGUGAGUAACCUGCCCUUGACUCUGGGAUAAGCCCGGGAAACUGGGUCUAAUACUGGAUGCUACAUGUCACCGCAUGGUGGUGUGUGGAAAGGGUUUACUGGUCUUGGAUGGGCUCACGGCCUAUCAGCUUGUUGGUGAGGUAAUGGCUCACCAAGGCGACGACGGGUAGCCGGCCUGAGAGGGUGACCGGCCACACUGGGACUGGGACACGGCCCAGACUCCGACGGGAGGCAGCAGUGGGGAAUAUUGCACAAUGGGCGAAAGCCUGAUGCAGCGACGCCGCGUGAGGGAUGACGGCCUUCGGGUUGGAAACCUCUUUCAGCAGGGAAGAAGCCACAAGUGACGGUACCUGCAGAAGAAGCGCCGGCUAACUACGUG
rnacentral:rRNA from 1 species